rnacentral:tRNA from 1 species
AUCCUUGUAGCGCAAUGGAUAGCGCGUUGGACUUCUCAUCCAAAGGUCGUGGGUUUGAAUCCUACCUUGGAUG